rnacentral:rRNA from 1 species
UACGUAGGGGGCAAGCAUUGUCCGGAAUUAUUGGGCGUAAAGAGCGUGUAGGCGGUCCGGUAAGUCAGCUGUGAAAGUCAAGGGCUCAACCCUUGAAAGCCGGUUGAUACUGUCGGGCUAGAGUCCGGAAGAGGCGAGUGGAAUUCCCAGUGUAGCGGUGAAAUGCGUAGAUAUUGGGAGGAACACCAGUGGCGAAGGCGGCUCACUGGACCGGAACUGACGCUGAGGCGCGAAAGCGUGGGGAGCAAACGGG